GGGGCUGGGUGAGUCGACCCCUAAGGCGAGGCCGAAAGGCGUAGUCGAUGGGAAAAUGGUUAAUAUUCCAUUACUUCUGUGUAAUGCGAUGAGAGGACGGAGAAGGCUAAAUCAGCCUGGCGUUGGUUGUCCAGGUGAAAGGAUGUAGGCAUGUAUCUUAGGCAAAUCCGGGGUACUCUAUGCUGAGAUCUGAUAGCAAGCUGUACUUGUACAGCGAAGUGGUUGAUGCCAUGCUUCCAGGAAAAGUCUCUAAGCUUCAGUUACACAGGAAUCGUACCCGAAACCGACACAGGUGGUCAGGUCGAGUAGACCAAGGCGCUUGAGAGAACUCUGCUGAAGGAACUAGGCAAAAUGGUACCGUAACUUCGGGAGAAGGUACGCUGUUGUUGGUGAUGGAACUCGCUUCCUGAGCUGACGACAGCCGCAGAAACCAGGCCGCUGCAACUGUUUAUUAAAAACAUAGCACUCUGCAAACACGAAAGUGGACGUAUAGGGUGUGAUGCCUGCCCGGUGCUGGAAGGUUAAUUGAUGGGGUUAGCGUAAGCGAAGCUCUUGAUCGAAGCCCCAGUAAACGGCGGCCGUAACUAUAACGGUCCUAAGGUAGCGAAAUUCCUUGUCGGGUAAGUUCCGACCUGCACGAAUGGCAUAAUGAUGGCGGCGCUGUCUCCAGCAGAGGCUCAGUGAAAUCGAAAUCGCUGUGAAGAUGCAGUGUACCCGCGGCUAGACGGAAAGACCCCGUGAACCUUUACUGCAGCUUGACACUGAACUUUGACCUUACUUGUGUAGGAUAGGUGGGAGGCUUUGAAGCUGGAACGCUAGUUCCAGUGGAGCCGUCCUUGAAAUACCACCCUGGUAAUGUUGAGGUUCUAACUCUGUCCCGUGAUCCGGGACGAGGACCGUGUCUGGUGGGUAGUUUGACUGGGGCGGUCUCCUCCUAAAGAGUAACGGAGGAGUACGAAGGUGCGCUCAGCGUGGUCGGAAAUCACGCGUAGAGUAUAAAGGCAAAAGCGCGCUUAACUGCGAGACCCACAAGUCGAGCAGGUACGAAAGUAGGUCUUAGUGAUCCGGUGGUUCUGUAUGGAAGGGCCAUCGCUCAACGGAUAAAAGGUACUCUGGGGAUAACAGGCUGAUACCGCCCAAGAGUUCAUAUCGACGGCGGUGUUUGGCACCUCGAUGUCGGCUCAUCUCAUCCUGGGGCUGAAGCAGGUCCCAAGGGUAUGGCUGUUCGCCAUUUAAAGAGGUACGCGAGCUGGGUUUAGAACGUCGUGAGACAGUUCGGUCCCUAUCUACCGUGGGCGCUGGAAAUUUGAGAGGAUCUGCUCCUAGUACGAGAGGACCAGAGUGGACGAACCUCUGGUGUACCGGUUGUGACGCCAGUCGCAUCGCCGGGUAGCUAUGUUCGGAAGGGAUAACCGCUGAAAGCAUCUAAGCGGGAAGCCUACCUCAAGAUAAGAUUUCCCUAGGACUUUAUGUCCUCUAAAGAGCCGUUCGAGACUAGGACGUUGAUAGGUUGGAUGUGGAAGCAUAGUGAUAUGUGAAGCUGACCAAUACUAAUUGCUCGUGAGGCUUGACUAU
rnacentral:rRNA from 1 species